AUUGAACGCUGGCGGCAGGCCUAACACAUGCAAGUCGAGCGGAUGAAGGGAGCUUGCUCCUGGAUUCAGCGGCGGACGGGUGAGUAAUGCCUAGGAAUCUGCCUGGUAGUGGUGGCUAACGUCCGGAAACGGGCGCUAAUACCGCAUACGUCCUGAGGGAGAAAGUGGGGGAUCUUCGGACCUCACGCUAUCAGAUGAGCCUAGGUCGGAUUAGCUAGUUGGUGGGGUAAAGGCCUACCAAGGCGACGAUCCGUAACUGGUCUGAGAGGAUGAUCAGUCACACUGGAACUGAGACACGGUCCAGACUCCUACGGGAGGCAGCAGUGGGGAAUAUUGGACAAUGGGCGAAAGCCUGAUCCAGCCAUGCCGCGUGUGUGAAGAAGGUCUUCGGAUUGUAAAGCACUUUAAGUUGGGAGGAAGGGCAGUAAGUUAAUACCUUGCUGUUUUGACGUUACCAACAGAAUAAGCACCGGCUAACUUCGUG
rnacentral:rRNA from 1 species